UGGUCAUGGGCGCAGGCCUGAACCGCCAAGUAGCGUGAAGGAUGACUGCCCUAUGGGUUGUAAACUUCUUUUAUAUGGGAAUAAAGUAUUCCACGUGUGGGAUUUUGUAUGUACCAUAUGAAUAAGGAUCGGCUAACUCCGUGCCAGCAGCCGCGGUAAUACGGAGGAUCCGAGCGUUAUCCGGAUUUAUUGGGUUUAAAGGGAGCGUAGGUGGAUUGUUAAGUCAGUUGUGAAAGUUUGCGGCUCAACCGUAAAAUUGCAGUUGAAACUGGCAGUCUUGAGUACAGUAGAGGUGGGCGGAAUUCGUGGUGUAGCGGUGAAAUGCUUAGAUAUCACGAAGAACUCCGAUUGCGAAGGCAGCUCACUAGACUGCAACUGACACUGAUGCUCGAAAGUGUGGGUAUCAAACAGGAUUAGAUACCCUGGUAGUCCACACAGUAAACGAUGAAUACUCGCUGUUUGCGAUAUACAGUAAGCGGCCAAGCGAAAGCAUUAAGUAUUCCACCUGGGGAGUACGCCGGCAACGGUGAAACUCAAAGGAAUUGACGGGGGCCCGCACAAGCGGAGGAACAUGUGGUUUAAUUCGAUGAUACGCGAGGAACCUUACCCGGGCUUAAAUUGCAAAUGAAUAAUCUGGAAACAGGUUAGCCGCAAGGCAUUUGUGAAGGUGCUGCAUGGUUGUCGUCAGCUCGUGCCGUGAGGUGUCGGCUUAAGUGCCAUAACGAGCGCAACCCUUAUCUUUAGUUACUAACAGGUCAUGCUGAGGACUCUAGAGAGACUGCCGUCGUAAGAUGUGAGGAAGGUGGGGAUGACGUCAAAUCAGCACGGCCCUUACGUCCGGGGCUACACACGUGUUACAAUGGGGGGUACAGAGGGCCGCUACCACGCGAGUGGAUGCCAAUCCCAAAAACCUCUCUCAGUUCGGACUGGAGUCUGCAACCCGACUCCACGAAGCUGGAUUCGCUAGUAAUCGCGCAUCAGCCACGGCGCGGUGAAUACGUUCCCGGGCCUUGCACUCACCGCCCGU
rnacentral:rRNA from 1 species